rnacentral:rRNA from 1 species
AGCGCAGACGGUUAUUUAAGCAAGAUGUGAAAGCCCCGGGCUCAACCUGGGAACUGCGUUUUGAACUGGGUAACUAGAGUGUGUCAGAGGGGGGUAGGAAUUCCACGUGUAGCAGUGAAAUGCGUAGAGAUGUGGAGGAAUACCGAUGGCGAAGGCGACUUUCUGGACUGUAACUGACGCUGAGGCUCGAAAGCCAGGGGAGCGAACG